rnacentral:rRNA from 1 species
UACGAAGGGGGCUAGCGUUGCUCGGAAUCACUGGGCGUAAAGCGCACGUAGGCGGCUUUUUUAAGUCAGGGGUGAAAUCCUGGAGCUCAACUCCAGAACUGCCUUUGAUACUGGACGGGCUAGAGUCUGGUAGGGGAUCGUGGAAUUCCUGGUGUAGCGGUGGAAAUGCGCAGAUAUCAGGAGGAACACCGGUGGCGAAGGCGGGAUCCUGGGCCAGUACGUGACGCUGAGGAGCGAAAGCGUGGGGAGCAAACAGGGAU